GAUGAAGAACGUAGCGAAAUGCGAUAAGUAAUGUGAAUUGCAGAAUUCAGUGAGUCAUCGAAUCUUUGAACGCACAUUGCGCCCCCUGGUAUUCCGGGGGGCAUGCCUGUCCGAGCGUCAUUACAACCCUCAAGCUCAGCUUGGUAUUGGGCCCCGCCGCUCCGGCGGGCCCUAAAGUCAGUGGCGGUGCCGUCCGGCUCCGAGCGUAGUAAUUCUUCUCGCUCUGGAGGUCCGGUCGUGUGCUCGCCAGCAACCCCCAAUUUUUUUCAGGUUGACCUCGGAUCAGGUAGGGAUACCCGCUGAACUUAAGCAUAUCAAUAAGCGGAGGA
rnacentral:misc_RNA from 1 species